GGGCAAGUGACGCAGUGGUAGCGUGUUCGCUUUGCAUCCUGAGCUUGCGAGAAGCCCUGGGUUCAAUCCCCAGCUUGUCCA
rfam:Peniophora sp. CONT PENSPscaffold_294_Cont401, whole genome shotgun sequence.